UACGUAGGGUGCGAGCGUUGUCCGGAUUUACUGGGCGUAAAGGGAGCGUAGGCGGACUUUUAAGUGAGAUGUGAAAUACCCGGGCUCAACUUGGGUGCUGCAUUUCAAACUGGAAGUCUAGAGUGCAGGAGAGGAGAAUGGAAUUCCUAGUGUAGCGGUGAAAUGCGUAGAGAUUAGGAAGAACACCAGUGGCGAAGGCGAUUCUCUGGACUGUAACUGACGCUGAGGCUCGAAAGCGUGGGGAGCAAACAGGAUUAGAUA
rnacentral:rRNA from 1 species